GGAGAGGUACCCAAGCGGCCAAAGGGGGCAGACUGUAAAUCUGUUGGUUAUCACCUUCGAAGGUUCGAAUCCUUCUCUCUCCA
rnacentral:tRNA from 3 species